UUCCCCCAAAACACCAAAUCAGUUUUCCCCUAAAUUCACAUAAACAACAUCGUUUUUUUCCACCCUUUUAUCCCCAAAGACAUACCCGAAAAGCUUAAGUGUUUUCCCCUAAAAUUUUCCCCUAAAAUUUUCCCCCUAACCCUAAAUUUUUAACAAAUCCAAAACCAACCCAUCUCUCCAUUGCUGGACCCGACCAUCUAUUGCAUCACCAUCGACUCGACCAUCUGCUGCAUCACCGUCGCACUCCUUUGCUGCAACUAAUCGGAAUUGAAACCUGGGUUAGAGAAAUUACUGGUGGAGGAAUUGACAAUCUUCUGCAGCAGCUUCACCUUCUACUUCAUCAUCAUAUUUACUUUCGGAUACUGAAUAGAAGAGAAAGGGGAAGAAGGCAAAGAUAAAGG